CGUAGGGUGCAAGCGUUACUCGGAAUUACUGGGCGUAAAGCGUGCGCAGGCGGUUUUGUAAGUCAGAUGUGAAAUCCCCGGGCUUAACCUGGGAACUGCGUUUGAAACUACAAGGCUAGAGUGUGACAGAGGGGGGUGGAAUUCCACGUGUAGCAGUGAAAUGCGUAGAGAUGUGGAGGAACACCGAUGGCGAAGGCAGCCCCCUGGGUUAACACUGACGCUCAGGCACGAAAGCGUGGGGAGCAAACAGG
rnacentral:rRNA from 1 species